rnacentral:rRNA from 1 species
UACGAAGGGGGCUAGCGUUGCUCGGAAUCACUGGGCGUAAAGGGCGCGUAGGUGGCCCGACAAGUCCGUGGUGAAAGCUCGACGCUCAACGUCGAGUCGGCCAUGGAUACUGUUGGGCUGGAGCACUGUAGAGGCUCAUGGAAUUCCGGGUGUAGCGGUGGAAUGCGUAGAGAUCCGGAAGAACACCGGUGGCGAAGGCGGUGAGCUGGGCAGUUGCUGACACUGAGGCGCGACAGCGUGGGGAGCAAACAGG